rnacentral:rRNA from 1 species
AUGGCCGGGGGUAGGAAUCCUGAGAAGAAGAACACGGACAGACGGAGCUGCUCCAUGGCGUCGAGGCAGGGGAGGAAGCGACCAUCGUCCAUGGCGUCCCGGUGCUCGAGCAAGGACGGCAUCCUGGAUCUAGGAGGCAGAGAUGAUGGAUUGAGGAAGUUAGGAACGGCUGUGAGGAGGAGAUCGAGUAGAUGGACGCACCUGAGUCAUCGGAGCCACGCCGACCGAAACCCUAGCGACGGGAGCCAGUCGCGGUUGGCGCUGGAGGACGCGCGUGAUGGAUCUCGACAGGGAACGCCAGCCUCCCAAAGACCCGCCGGUAGAGAGCGCCUACUCGAUCUAGAGGGAGGGAGUGGGGGUGGGGGCAGCUGCGCCUGCUCGAUCCAGAGGCAGGUAGGUGGGAAGGAGGGAUUACUGCUGGAUCUGGCCACAAGAUGA